rnacentral:rRNA from 1 species
UGGGGAAUUUUGGACAAUGGGCGAAAGCCUGAUCCAGCAAUGCCGCGUGUGUGAAGAAGGCCUUCGGGUUGUAAAGCACUUUUGUCCGGAAAGAAAUCCUUGGCUCUAGUACAGUCGGGGGAUGACGGUACCGGAAGAAUAAGCACCGGCUAACUACGUGCCAGCAGCCGCGGUAAUACGUAGGGUGCAAGCGUUAGUCGGAAUUACUGGGCGUAAAGCGUGCGCAGGCGGUUUGCUAAGACCGAUGUGAAAUCCCCGGGCUCAACCUGGGAACUGCAUUGGUGACUGGCAGGCUAGAGUAUGGCAGAGGGGGGUAGAAUUCCACGUGUAGCAGUGAAAUGCGUAGAGAUGUGGAGGAAUACCGAUGGCGAAGGCAGCCCCCUGGGCCAAUACUGACGCUCAUGCACGAAAGCGUGGGGGAGCAAACAGGAUUAGAUACCCUGGUAGUCCACGCCCUAAACGAUGUCAACUAGUUGUUGGGGGAUUCAUUUCCUUAGUAACGUAGCUAACGCGUGAAGUUGACCGCCUGGGGAGUACGGUCGCAAGAUUAAAACUUAAAUGAAUUGACGGGGUCAUAGCUGUUUCCU